AUACGUAGGGGGCGAGCGUUGUCCGGAAUGAUUGGGCGUAAAGGGCGCGUAGGCGGCCCGGUAAGUCUGGAGUGAAAGUCCUGUUUUUAAGAUGGGAAUUGCUUUGGAUGCUGUCGGGCUUGAGGGCAGAAGAGGUAAGUGGAAUUCCCAGUGUAGCGGUGCAAUGCGUAGAGAUUGGGAGGAACACCAAUGGCGAAGGCGACGUACUGGACUGUAACUGACGCAGAAGCGCGAAAGUGUGGGGAGCAAACAGGAUUAGAUACCCUGGUAGUCCACUCUGUAAACGAUGAAUGCUAGGUGUAGGGGGUAUCGACCCCUUCUGUGCCGCAGUCAACACAAUAAGCAUUCCGCCUGGGGAGUACGGCCGCAAGGUUGAAACUCAAAUGAAUUGACGGGG
rnacentral:rRNA from 1 species